CCAGAAGCCGUCUCCCACAAAGGUUGGUCCACACUGCUGGGCUGACAGAGGCUGCUCUGCAUGCUGAUGCAUACCCUCAGACUGGGGCUUGGUGUCAGGACUUUGGAGAGGAGAGCAUGAGGACCUUCACUUGGUGGUGCACCUUGGACGACUUUCACUGCCCUUGGUGUGUGAGAAGAUGUUCUUCACAACCCUUUAGACAAAACUGUCUUUAUUGGUCAUAUUGGUCAGAAAGGAUCUCAUCAAUCCAGAAGCAGAGCAUCAUGGAAACUACUCAGAAGCUCCUUCUUGCAAGCCCCCAUCAGAUCUGCAGUCUGCAGAACUGCUCAAGAUCUCUGUUCUCAUCACACUCACAGAGCAAGCAGAGUUUUCUGUACCCUGAAAACAGAGAGAAGCCUAGUGCUGAACCCAUGUUCAUUUCUGAAAUGUGGAAAAUGUCCAGGUGCUGAUAGAGGGCAACAAUAUAAUCUAUCAGACAAGCAAGGUAAAGAAAGAGAGGGAUGAAUAGAGAGACUGAGCCAGUGUUCAGAAGUGUGUACCCUGUUCUCCCUCAACAGAAUGAAAGGUAGUUAUGGACAAUUCAUACUCUGUCCAGUUCAGGAAAAGAACAUCUUAAAUCAUAUUCCCCUCUUUCUAUAUUUGAGUCCAAGGGUCAGACCCAAGUGAAGUUAUUCAUUUCCUCAAAGCUGACCACAUCAGCAGCACCUGUCAGCUAACUCCAAUAUCUUUGUAUUUUUAUGCCUAUUACAGGCCCCAAAAACCCCUUGAGAGAGGGAGGGAGAGAGAAUGGGAGAGGGAGAGAGGAAGAGAGAGUGAUUCUGCCUGAAUGCACAAGGAUCCAGAGGAUGAAACAAGCAGCAGUUUAUGGGAGAUGCAGGAUAACAGACAAUCCUGAUGGCACAACCUACAGGAAGAAGGAUGAGUGAAUGAGAAAAGGCAUUGUAAGAAAAUUCAGGUACAGAGGCUGAGCUGGGAAUCAAGCCCCUGGCAAUUAGAAAGUAACACUGAAGCCCAGGGGAUCUUCACUGCAGAGGAAUACCUCAUGCACUGCCCUUGGAAGAAACAUCAAAGUUGACUCCCAUGGUGUCAGGAUUGCAACACCACUGAGCUGGGCUGCCAUUGGGUGCAUGAAAAAGCACAGAAGGCAGCUUUGAAAAAUACCUCGUUCUCUUCUUGGUGCUUCCCAGAGUAGGAGCAAGAGUGGGAGUGGGAGAACAGCAAAAUGAGAGAAAGGGCUGUGUUUAAAUCAAUCCUUGCAUGUUACCCAAGGCUCAAUCUACAUGCAAAUGCGAGCAGAAGCUGUGAUGUUCCUGGUGGGGAUGCAGUACACUAUUCCCAUUAGAACAGGAACAAAUCUACGUACCUCCUUUCAGUCCUUCCCUACCCCUGCUCUUCCUUUUCUUAUAAUAAAGCCAUGUAAAAAGGAGCUCUGUUUUAGUCCUGUGCUUCCACUGCUUAGUGCAGAGACUCCUGCUCUGGAUGUCUCUGAGGGCACCAGGCACCAGGCACCAGGGUUUAUCAUAGUAUUCACCCAACAGACCGUUCACAGUUAAUAAAAAUCACCCUAACUAAAAUAUCCAUAUUCAUAAAAAAAAAUAGGCAGUUUGAUAGCUUAUCUGCUUGAAAA